rnacentral:lncRNA from 1 species
UGUAAUAUACGAAAAAUUUUAGGUUGCGAUGCUAACUUUGAUUUGGAAGAUUAAAGUGAAGUUUGAAUUGGAUGUGCAUCAUUCAAGAGUGUUUCUGGACGUGUGGGAAUGAUUUCUGAAGGUAAUUAAGUAUUCGGGCACAAAUCGGGCGCGAAAUGAACUUGAAAGGAGAUUUUCGGAUUAUGACGUUAACUUUGACCUACGCGAUCAAAGUGAGGUAUGAAUGUUAAUUGUACUAUCUCCGAAUUAUUUUGGAAGUGCGAGGAUAGUUAAUGGUAAAUUCGGAGAUGCUUGGAUGUAAUAUGUUGGAUUUUUGGUUACGUUGCUAAUCUUGAUCAAAUUGAUCAAGAUAAUGCCAAAAUGAAGUUAGCUUACUUCCGAGCUUAAUUAGUAGCUUCGGCAUAGUGUUUAGUAUGUUUUGGAAGUGUUUGAA